rnacentral:rRNA from 1 species
AUGCUAGUCGCACGAGUUCAGACUCGUGGCGAAUAGCUCAGUAACACGUGGCCAAACUACCCUUCGGAACACAAUACCCUCGGGAAACUGAGGCUAAUAGUGUAUACCACAGUCCACCUGGAAUGAGGACUGUGCCAAACGCUCCGGCGCCGAAGGAUGUGGCUGCGGCCGAUUAGGUAGACGGUGGGGUAACGGCCCACCGUGCCAAUAAUCGGUACGGGUCAUGAGAGUGAGAACCCGGAGACGGAAUCUGAGACAAGAUUCCGGGCCCUACGGGGCGCAGCAGGCGCGAAACCUUUACACUGCACGACAGUGCGAUAAGGGAAUCCCAAGUGCGUAGGCAUAGAGCCUACGCUUUUGUCCACCGUAGGGAGGUGGACGAAUAAGGGCUGGGCAAGACCGGUGCCAGCCGCCGCGGUAAUACCGGCAGCCCGAGUGAUGGCCGAUCUUAUUGGGCCUAAAGCGUCCGUAGCUGGCCGCACAAGUCCAUCGGAAAAUCCACCCGCUCAACGGGUGGGCGUCCGGUGGAAACUGUGUGGCUUGGGACCGGAAGGCGCGACGGGUACGUCCGGGGUAGGAGUGAAAUCCCGUAAUCCUGGACGGACCGCCGAUGGCGAAAGCACGUCGCGAGAACGGAUCCGACAGUGAGGGACGAAAGCUAGGGUCUCGAACCGGAUUAGAUACCCGGGUAGUCCUAGCCGUAAACAAUGCCUGCUAGGUGUGGCUCCCACUACGAGUGGGUGCUGUGCCGUAGGGAAGCCGCUAAGCAGG